rnacentral:rRNA from 1 species
ACGUAGAGUUUGAUCCUGGCUCAGGAUGAACGCUAGCGGCAGGCCUAAUACAUGCAAGUCGAACGGGAUUAGUUGUAUUUAUAUGACUAUGAGAGUGGCGCACGGGUGCGUAACACGUAUACAAUCUGCCCCAAACUGGAGGAUAGCCCGGCGAAAGUCGGAUUAAUACUCCAUAACAUUGCGAGAUGGCAUCAUCUUGUUAUUAAAGCUUCGGCGGUUUGGGAUGAGUAUGCGCAACAUUAGCUAGUUGGAGAGGUAACAGCUCACCAAGGCUACGAUGUUUAGGGGGUCUGAGAGGAUUAUCCCCCACACUGGUACUGAGACACGGACCAGACUCCUACGGGAGGCAGCA